rnacentral:rRNA from 1 species
UACGAAGGGGGCGAGCGUUGUUCGGAUUUACUGGGCGUAAAGGGCGCGUAGGCGGCCGAUCAAGUCAGGCGUGAAAGCCCCGGGCUCAACCUGGGAAUGGCGCUUGGGACUGGUUGGCUUGAGUUCGGGAGAGGAGAGUGGAAUUCCCGAGUGUAGAGGUGAAAUUCGUAGAUAUUGGGAAGAACACCGGUGGCGAAGGCGGCUCUCUGGACCGAGACUGACGCUGAGGCGCGAAAAGCG